rnacentral:rRNA from 1 species
GAUGAACGCUGGCGGCGUGCCUAACACACGCAAGUCGAACGAAACACCUUACCUGAUUCUUCGGAUGAAAGUUUGGUGACUGAGUGGCGGACGGGUGAGUAACGCGUGGGUAACCUGCACUGUACAGGGGGAUAACAGCUGGAAACGGCUGCUAAUACCGCAUACGCGCACGAGGAGACAUCUCCUUGUGUGAAAAGCUUCGGUGGUACAGGAUGGGCCCGCGUCGGAUUAGCUGGUUGGCAGGGUGACGGCAUACCAAGGCAACGAUGAGUAGCCGGUCGGAGAGGAUGAACGGUCACAUUGGAACUGCGACACGGUCCAAACUCCUACGGGAGGGAGCAGUGGGGAAUAUUGCACAAUGGGGGAAAACCUGAUGCAGCAACGCCGGGUGAGUGAAGAAGUAUUUCGGUAUGUAAAGUUCUAUCAGCAGGGAAGAUAAUGACGGUACCUGACUAAGAAGCUCCGGCUAAAUACGUG